rnacentral:lncRNA from 1 species
ACAAAUACAAUUAUUUCGAAAAAAAAAUGCGAUCUAUAUUUCAAUAUAAUUAAAAUAUUAAAUAUAAAACAAGCCAAUAUUUUUUAUUUUUAAUUCGCACCAUUUUUCUGCCUCAUUUUAUUUUUAUCCUCAUUAAAAGGGGUAGUUUUUUAAUUAAACGUUCUUUUAGAAUCUCGAGAUUCUCCAGAAUUUCCGGAAACGAAUCUCCGAUCUCGAGAAAUAAAUUAAUUACUAAUUGGGGAAUUCCCGAAUCUGGAGAAAACAAAAAGUUGGGGAAAAUACCUUCACUAAAGAUACCAUGUUGUAACGAAAACAAAUUAUUUAAUUAAUUGAAGAUAGACGCGCAAUAAUUCACUAGUUUUUAAUUUCUUAAAAUGAUCUGUAGAUGAUUAUUAUUGUAAAUUCUGCCAAAAAAGCCUGAUUCUAUCCUUUGUAUGCGUAUAUGUUUGACACCGGCCAGUGAUGCGACGUCAUAGCAUCAGCUAUCCCCUACGAAAAAAGGGUCUGUCCGAAAUCCCACCACUUUUAAGUCCGCAAUUUUGUUUAAAUGGCCAUAUUUAUUUCCAUAGCGAACCGAUUUAAAAAUUUUAAAAUUAUAAAGAAUUUGUCAAUUUAUUUGAAUGAGUACCAACGAUAUUGUUGGAUACUUUAAGGUGGGGAUAUCGGCUUAUAUACGAGAUAAUAAUAAUUUUUUUAAACUCGAGUCGAGCGGUCGACUGGCGCACGAGUGUACACGGUAAUUUAAUGGCGACGAUUAUCUUUAAAUUUCAAUUUUAAUUAUUUUUUUUCAUUUAGGGCUUAAUUGUUAUUAAUGCAAACUAAAUUAGAGAAAUCCGUGCGCGUACCAACCGAUUUGUCGAUAUUUAUUGAAAUGCAGUUAAUUAAAUACGUGAACUAAAUUUGAUUUUUUUAAAGAUUUUUACCAUAUAAAUGAAAACAUUAGAAAAAAAAUCUGAAUAAUUUUUUAAAUGAAUAUAUUGGAUAUAAAAUUAUGUUGCGCUGUAUUAGUAAAUGAUGUUAAGACUUCGGGGCAAAAAAUAUAUUAAAAGAAUGAAUAAUUAUUAUAUCAAAAUACUCUGUUAGCAUCAACCUACCAAGCGGUCGCUGGUAACGCCGAUCCAUACGCGUGUACGCGUCUUCCUAGACUACAUAGUGUAAUGGAAGAGCCAAACCCAUCUGAUAUAUCCGCACUUACCAACGUCGCUACUUAUAGCGGCUCAAACUCUACGCGCCUUUCUUGACCAUGAAAUUUUAGUCAUUUCUAUAUCUAGCCGAAAGGCAUUUGUACACACAGUUUGGCAGUUCUCGCUGUAUUUUUUGCGGGUGUAUCUUUUUUCCAACAGAAUCUAAAAGUUUCUUUAGUUUAAAGUUUUUCUGUUUAAAAUAAAUAUUAUAUAUUCGGUGGGAUUAUAUAUUCAUUAACGCGAAAGCUUUAAUGAAUAUAUAUAUAGGUGUAUAUGUAUGUGAGUGUGUGUGCCUGCGUGAAAUUAGAUUUAGCGUAGUGUAGUAAUAUUGGAUGGCCAAGCUACACAAUUCCUAUGUUUAAUAAUUCGUUUAUCUCGAUUAUUAAACACUGUUUUGUAUUGUAGAUAUUAGCAGGGAUUAAAAUGUUAAUUUUGUAAGAAAAUUAUGUAAAUGGAACAAAUCUUAUGUAUUAAGAUAAUGUAACACGCGUAAAUACGAUCGACCAAUAACUACAGUAUUUUAUUAUUUUUGUGGUCGAAGUCUACCCACAGGGACCGACUCUAAAGUUGUUCAUAUCAAAUAAAGUACCUGUUUGCCUCAAUAAUUAGAUACAUACUAAUUGGUAGUUACUGCCAAUUAGUAUUUAUUUAUAGCAGUGUCUGUCUACUAAAAGUUUUCCCUUCAUUUUCCACCAAUGAGAAGCGAAUACUUAUCGAACAGUUGUGUCGGCGGGUUAAGUUUCGUUGAUUGCGUUCCUUUCGAUCACAAUGUUUUUGAGUUAGAAACUCGAAUGUAGCGGGCGGAUAAUGAAUUGGUGGAGGAAGAGAGAAUUUUAUCACCUUGAUCAAUAUUUUAAAAGGAGAAAGUUAAACGGAGACCUUUAUUGUCAGCCAAAAAGGUUACAGACGUACUGUCCAAGCCACCGAAGAGUAGAAAAUGAUAUUAUUAUAAAGGAAAGUCAACUGUUGGGUAUGGCUGGUCAGAAGCGACCGAAUAACGUUGAUUAUUUGAUAAUUGGUGGCCAUCUGGCCAUCAAAGCCUUUUAAAUUAACAUAAGGCUUUUCGGAAUUACAGUAUUAUGGUUUCCGGACUAUAGUAUUUGGCUCAAAGUGCUUGGUACAAAAAAUGCGAAAAUACUCUUAUUAAAAAGAAAAAAACCAUUCGAGGUAAAUGAAGCAGAGAAUUCGAGGUAUAUGAUGUUUAUUUUCAUAUUAAAUGAAAUAAACACUGGAUUAAAAAUAAGUCAAAUUAUCAGAUUUAAAAAUAUAUAUAUAUAUUUUGUGACAUUAUAAAUAUGUA